UGGGAACUCAAAACUGGGAAUAGAAAUCAAUUGGGAUAGAAAACCAACAAGGACUUGUCAACUCCUACUCGGAGCCUUCUGCUGUCCAGGGUGCUGUGGAAUACAAAAGAAAUAUUCCAAGUGGUCUUUGACCUCAAAUAACUUUUUAAAAGAUGGGGCCUCUCUUUUCUCAUCUGAAGAAAGAGCUACCACAAAGUGCUCUGGCUUCUGGACCUGAAACCGACUGAUUCUUACCCCUGGAUAUACACGAGAAUCACCCAGGAGUUGUUAGAAAGUACAGUGUCCAGCUCCUUUCUUCCCAUCACCAGCCCUAGCCAGUUACAUUAGAAUCGCUGGAAAUGAGCCUGGACAUCGACAUCUUUAAGGGCUCUGCAAGUGAUUCUGAUGGUAGCCAGGCUUGGGACUGCUCAUUGCCAUCCUGUAACAUGGAUGCCAGAGAGUAAAGGCAAAAAUGCCUCUUUAGCAAAAUAACAAAAUAAAUGAGAAUAUAUGAGAAUAGUAAA